rnacentral:rRNA from 1 species
UACGUAGGGGCAAGCGUUGUCCGGAUUUAUUGGGCGUAAAGAGCGUGUAGGCGGCCAGGUAGGUCCGUUGUGAAAACUCGAGGCUCAACCUCGAGACGCCGAUGGAAACCAUCUGGCUAGAGUCCGGAAGAGGAGAGUGGAAUUCCCGGUGUAGCGGUGAAAUGGCGCAGAUAUCGGAAGAACACCCGCGGCUAAGGCGGCUCUCUAGUACGGUACUGACGCUGAGACGCGAAAGCGUGGGAGCGAACG